rnacentral:rRNA from 1 species
GACGAACGCUGGCGGCGUGCUUAACACAUGCAAGUCGAACGGUAAGGCCCUUCGGGGUACACGAGUGGCGAACGGGUGAGUAACACGUGGGUGAUCUGCCCUGCACUUCGGGAUAAGCCUGGGAAACUGGGUCUAAUACCGGAUAGGACCACGGCCUGCAUGGGUGGUGGUGGAAAGCUUUUGCGGUGUGGGAUGGGCCCGCGGCCUAUCAGCUUGUUGGUGGGGUGAUGGCCUACCAAGGCGGCGACGGGUAACCGGCCUGAGAGGGUGACCGGCCACACUGGGACUGAGAUACGGCCCAGACUCCUACGGGAGGCAGCAGUGGGGAAUAUUGCACAAUGGGCGCAAGCCUGAUGCAGCGACGCCGCGUGAGGGAUGACGGCCUUCGGGUUGUAAACCUCUUUCAGCACCGACGAAGCGCAAGUGACGGUAGGUGCAGAAGAAGGACCGGCCAACUACGUGCCAGCCGCCGCAGUAA